AUCGCUUCUCGGCCUUUUGGCUAAGAUCAAGUGUAGUGCCAUUGCCAAAUCAGCUCAAAUACUUUAUAUGGAAUUUUUUUCUUGAGGGUUUUUUUCCCCCUCUUAAAAAAAAAAAUAAACUAAUAUGGAUUUUGUGAGGCCAUGGAAACCUU